GGAGGGGUGGCCGAGCGGUCAAUGGCAACGGAUUGUAAAUCCGUCGACUCACGUCUACGAAGGUUCGAAUCCUUCCCCCUCCACCA
rnacentral:tRNA from 1 species